rnacentral:rRNA from 1 species
AUUGAACGCUGGCGGCAGGCCUAACACAUGCAAGCCGAGCGGAUGAAGGGAGCUUGCUCCUGGAUUCAGCGGCGGACGGGUGAGUAAUGCCUAGGAAUCUGCCUGGUAGUGGGGGAUAACGUCCGGAAACUGGCGCUAAUACCGCAUACGUCCUGAGGGAGAAAGUGGGGGAUCUUCGGACCUCACGCUAUCAGAUGAGCCUAGGUCGGAUUAGCUAGUUGGUGGGGUAAAGGCCUACCAAGGCGACGAUCCGUAACUGGUCUGAGAGGAUGAUCAGUCACACUGGAACUGAGACACGGUCCAGACUCCUACGGGAGGCAGCAGUGGGGAAUAUUGGACAAUGGGCGAAAGCCUGAUCCAGCCAUGCCGCGUGUGUGAAGAAGGUCUUCGGAUUGUAAAGCACUUUAAGUUGGGAGGAAGGGCAGUAAGUUAAUACCUUGCUGUUUUGACGUUACCAACAGAAUAAGCACCGGCUAACUUCGUG